rnacentral:rRNA from 1 species
UACGGGGGGGCAAGCGUUGUUCGGAAUUACUGGGCGUAAGGGCUCGUAGGUGGCCAACUAAGUCAGACGUGAAAUCCCCAGGCUCAACUUGGGAACUGCGUCUGAUACUGGAUGGCUUGAAUUCGGGAGAGGGAUGCAGAAUUCCAGGUGUAGCGGUGAAAUGCGUAGAUAUCUGGAGGAAUACCGGUGGCGAAGGCGGCAUCCUGGACCGAGAUUGACACUGAUGAGCGAAAGCUAGGGGAGCAAACGGG